rnacentral:rRNA from 1 species
CAGCAGCCACGGUAAUACGAGGGGGGCAAGCGUUGUUCGGAAUUAUUGGGCGUAAAGGGCGCGUAGGCGGUUUGGUAAGUUAGAGGUGAAAGCCUGGAGCUCAACUCCAGAAUUGCCUUUAAGACUGCCGAGCUAGCAGGUGAGAGAGGUAAGUGGAAUUCCGAGUGUAGAGGUGAAAUUCGUAGAUAUUCGGAAGAACACCAGUGGCGAAGGCGGCUUACUGGCUCAUUCUAGACGCUGAGGUGCGAAAGCGUGGGGAGCAAACAGGAUUAGAUACCCCAGUAGUCCCUGUCUCUUAUAC